rnacentral:miRNA from 1 species
AACUACGUUUCGGAGUAUAACUCCAUCUUCAGGUUAAAAAUUAAAUUUGUAAUUGUUUUUAAAGUUUUAUAUCUUUAGUUACUUUUUAACCUGAAGAUGGAGUUAUACUCCGAAACGUAGUU